rnacentral:rRNA from 1 species
GAUGAACGCUAGCGGCAGGCCUAACACAUGCAAGUCGAGGGGUAACUAGAGUGAUAGCAAUAUUACUUUGGCUAGACCGGCGCACGGGUGCGUAACACGUAUGCAACCUACCUUAUACUGGGGAAUAACUUCGAGAAAUCGGCGCUAAUACCCCAUAACAUUGCGAAGAGGCAUCUCUUUGCAAUUAAAGCUCCGGCGGUAUAAGAUGGGCAUGCGUCCAAUUAGCUAGUCGGUGAGGUAACGGCUCACCAAGGCUACGAUUGGUAGGGGUUCUGAGAGGAUGAUCCCCCACACUGGUACUGAGACACGGACCAGACUCCUACGGGAGGCAGCAGUGAGGAAUAUUGCGCAAUGGACUAAAGUCUGACGCAGCCAUGCCGCGUGCAGGAUGACGGCCCUAUGGGUUGUAAACUGCUUUUGUACGGGAAUAAACCCUUCUACGUGUAGGAGGCUGAAGGUACCGUAAGAAUAAGCACCGGCUAACUCCGUGCCAGCCGCCGCCGUAAUAC